UUAUAUUUAAUCUGACUUAUUGUUUAGGUAAUUAUGACUUUAUUUUAUUUUAUUUUUUUACAGUAAGAUAUUUGAAUUUUGAUUGCUAUUUCAGGGACAGAAAUAACAGAUUGGCAGAAGAACUGGGGCAGGAGCAAGUGAAAAGGAAAUAUUAUCCUGAGCCUAUAUAUGAACUAGAUUGCUUUAGGUAUUAAAGCAGCAUUUGAAAGCACCAUACAUCAACAUGAUAAUGUUGUGGUUGUGAGAGUAUGAAUUAUUGCCUGGCUACUGGCAGAUGAGACAGUGUUUUUGCUAAUGAUGCUGCAUGGAAAUAUUGGUCCCCUUUGUGUGCAGACUGGGUCUUGCUUAGGCGAUGAGGUCUCUCGCACCUCGAGCAGUUGUGCUUUUCGAUUCCUAUUGCUCCGUACCGCAGGAGGAACAGCACAAAUGCCGCUGUGCCCAGGCUCAGAAAUGACGGCGUGUUAACGCCGUCUCUGUUUUUCCCCUUCUUUUGCCUCAGGAGAAGCUGUGCUCGGCUCGGACCUGUGGCUCAUGCCGCACGGUUCCCCCCGAACUGGCCGGGCGCUCCCGCCCAGGGGCUGCGUGUCGGCCGGGUGUCUCGCGCGCUGCUCGGAGGGGAUGCCGGCGGCUGCCGAGCCGCGGGAGAGCAGAGGAGAUGCGGCACCGGCAGAUGGGCCAACCCGAGGCAGGGAACCAGGCCAGAAGGAAUGGUCGGAGGAGAGAAAUGACAGAGGGGGAAGAUAAGGGGAGGCAGUAAGCUUGGGGAGACUGGAGGGUGGUGGGUGAAGAGAUGCAGGAGAACUGGGAGGCAGAAGAAGAUUCCUCAGGUCUUCAAAAUCUGUAGAGAUGGGUAUUUUGCACCCCAGGCUUCAAGGAUUUGCACUGUGCUGCUGUGACCCGUGUGUUUUCCCAAGGCUUAAGGCACUGGCUGUUUGGGUAGCUUUUAAUAUUCUUUGCUAUUUAAUGUAGGUUUGCUUCUGCAAAACCAAGUCAGCAAUUUAGGCAAUUUUAAAGGAGAUUAUGUCUUCCAGAGUCUUUAAUUCCCUGCAGUUCAUUCACCUUAAGAUUUGAUGUGCACAAUUAACUUCAGAUUUACACUAUUUGAAAGUAAGAACUGUUUUUUGUCUCAUUCUACAGCUUUAUAUUAUUUUCCACCAGUAGCUUAAACUUUUGACAUUUGAAUAAUUUCUCUGGCUGAGAUCUGCAAAUUCAUUUGUAUGCUUGAAAUGUUCAUGUGUUUGAAGAAAUAUUUUGGUAGUGAUACUGCCUGGUCAAAUUUAGACCUCUCCAUCAAGUUCUCUGUACACAUUUAAGAGUUUAAAAAUAGAGUUGUCCCAAGGCAUGCCAAAAACCUGGAGGCAGUCAAACUAAUAGAAAUAUGUAAACUUUCAUAAUAUGUUUACUGCAGGGAGAAAAAUAUGCCGAAGCUUUUGCUUUCAAAAAGCCUUUGUCCAAGGCUUCUUAAAAAAAAAAAAAAAAAAAAAAAAAAAAAAAGGGAAAAAGAAAGAUUGUCUACAGUUAUAUUGUAACUCCAUUUAUAGACAUUGAAACACGUUAGUAUCCACUGGAUUCUACUACAGUGCUUCCUUGGAAGAGUGCUGGCCAAGCAAAGUUGAUAUGACCUGUGAGAUACCCCAGAUUUUUAAAAGCUGACUAUGCUUGCUCAGAUACAUAAAUGGAGAGUUUGGAGCCAGGGUGUUAACAUUAUUAAAAAAAAAAAAAAAAAAAAAAAAAAGUUGUAAAACCAUAUACUUCGAAGGGUUGAUCCGAUGAAAUUUCUACAAUUUGAGUCUAUGUUGGUGAAAUCAGGGCAUUGUAUAAGGAAACGUAGAACGUGUGAUGAUUUCAGCACAGUGCUGGGGCCAGUCUUUGCACCGGAGAGGCUGUAUGCACCUGUGUCACCCAGGGAGCUGGGGAGAGACUAGACUUUGGAACACUGUGUUUUAAUCUCUUGUGGUGCUCCCUGCUAGGACACUUCCAUCCUUGGCCCAUUGUGUAAAGCAACAAUUCUGCAGCUGAUUAUUUCUCCUUUUCUGUUGCAUCAUGGAGGCACACUGCUGAAGCAGUGAUUAAGCAACCCAGAGCAAUGGAGCCGGGGGACCCUGUGGUUGCUGGCAGCCCUGCUACUGCCUUUUAGCAUCUGAGUGUGGACUCCAGUGUGGGAAGGGAUGUGGUUCCUAGGAUCCUUCAUCUGCCCUUUUUCUUAUUUUCUAAGCUGACUAGGUGGGAACUCCAAGCUAUGCUUUUGUCAGGUGGGCUCCAUCCCUGCCCAGCUACCUCCUGGCACCAGCACCAUUGCAAACUGCUCCUUGGUGGUGGUACCUUCCCACUCCCCUAUUUCCUAUGCAUUUCUCCCAGAAGGUUGGAUAAAUGCACCCAUUUAGACAUAGCUGCAGGAGCUGUUAACUUCUAACAGUCCUAAUGUAAAUCUGUUCUCGGUAAUUGUUGGCAUUUUCAUGUUCAAAAUAAGACUUUUAUAACUGGAUCUAUUUUGGCAAAAAUAGAAUGACUACUUGACUAAAGUAACCAGCAUAUUUUUUGGCCUAAAUUGCCCAACUUCACGAGCUUUUCUCAGAUCGAGAUUGUUUGAAUGCUAUUCAUACAGGUGGAUAAGGGCUAAAUAGUGUGAGUAGAUGCAGCAAAGUUGUAUUAUUAGUUGUUUGUGAAGUGCUAUACGAAUGCUGAAUGACAAUUUGAAUCUACUUUCAUAGUUUCAGUCAUCUUUUUGUUUGUUUUGGCUUUCUUCUUAUUCUUCAGAGGAAGAGAGCAAGAAUUUGGAACAUUUUUAGGAAAUGAGAGCCAGAUUUUCAGAUGUAAAACAGGAAAGACUUAGGUCUCUCAAUUCACAAAAGUCUUAGCAAGUUGCCUAGACACCUAAACUGCAGGAUUUCUGUCUCCUAAGUUAGCUAGCAAAAGCUCAGUUAUCUCCCCAAAUUACCUGGUUGCCUUUCAGGAGUGAUUUGAUUUCAUCAGUCCAGGUGGUCAUGUCUCCACGACGCCUGAUGGGCCACAUUUUGGAUAGCUGGGCUUGCAUUUGAAUAUGUUAUCUCAGCUUGGUGUACAGACUUUCACUGUGACUGCUCCAACCCGCUUGUCUUUCCCCACCACUACUUUUUCUGUUUCUGGCCAACAUCUUGCUUUUUCAGCAUUACAGUUGCUUUUGCAAAAUGAUAUUGUACAUACAGUGCCUCUCUUUCUUCUUCUAACUCCAGUGUAAUACAAGGCAUGGGAAGCAAUAGUUUCACCGAGCAGAGAUAACAAGGACUGGACAGUUUUAGGUGAAAACUAAAGCAAUGCUCACAGUCUUCCAAAGUGUUGGUCAAUCACUUCGUUGUCUGACAGCUGAUGGGAAGAAGUUGAUCCACGCUCCUAGCACAGCCCAACAGUGGGCAGAAGAACUUCUUGUCAAGUGAAAUGGUUACCACCUAGGGGAAAGGAAGGACCCUGGAACUCAUCAGAUCCCAACACUGAGACCACCUCAUGGCUCUGGGUUAGCUGUACUAUAAGACCAGAGAUUUUUUUUUAAGGGCUAUAUGGUACUGAAUCACAACUGUACCACAUCUAACAGAGGAGCCCUUAGCAGCAGACCAGGAGGAACAGCCCAUUUAUGCCUCGGCUCAAGUGGACAUCUAUCAUCCAACAUUUACCAUCUGAUACCUGCCCAGGAAAAUUCCAAGCAAUGGUUAUCUCUGGAUUCCCUUUCUCAGAAGACAAAAUAAUUUUCCAGAGAAUUUCCUUUGCUACUUGUUUCUUCACAGGCUUCCCUCCCACAACAGGAUGAUGCUGAAUUUGAUCUCCAAAAGCCUUUAGAUCUACACUGUUUUCUUCCUACUGCAAAUGGACUCCAAACAAGAUGCCUUUGCUCUUUGACAAACCAUUUCUCCUCAGAUACUUCAUCAACCAUAGCUCCAGAGGCAGAGAGUGCCACUUUCCUGGCCAAGGCAUGACGUGCCAUCUUAGUGCUGCAACCCCUGCUAUUUUCUCCUGAACACAUCUCUUGUGGCUGAUGUUGUGCAAUCUGCAUAUCCCAACCCAGCAAACGGCAUGAAGACCAGGUCAAGUAAACAUGUUGCCAGACUGCAUCCUGGCACCACCACAGGAGUGUGGAGCAGGUUCUGGGAACCAAGAGUAGAACAGCUUAGGUGAGUUGUGGGGCCACAGGUGGGAUGACAUCUCACAGCUUGGCUCUGGAACGGGGUGCUUCUUAUGGCCUCCUUCACAGCUGGUGCUGCUGUCACCACAGCUGUUGCUGGGAUGAUGGCAAAUUCAAGGAUGGCGAGGCCCACCUCAACAGCGGCUCAUUCCACCAUGUCCAGGCAGUCUGGAAGAGAGGGACUGUGGACCAAGAGAGUGUUAGUGCAGGAGAAACAGGCUUGGACACAGCAAGAGAUGACCAGCAGCAGAUGGUGGACAAGGCCCACAGCACAGAAGUAUACUGAUCUGCCUGUCACUGUGUACGAGUGAUGAAGAACCAUCUCCUUACACUUCUUUAGCGCUCCAACUUCAUUCUCAAGGGGUUGGCAGGUGGAUGUAACACUUGUUUCUGACUUUGUUCCCUCCUCUAUUUCAGUAAUAAAGUCCCUAAUGUUACAGUUU